rnacentral:rRNA from 1 species
GACGAACCGUACGAACGUUAUUCGGAAUCACUGGGCUUAAAGGGUGCGUAGGCGGCGAUAAAAGUUGGGUGUGAAAUCCCUCGGCUCAACCGAGGAACUGCGCCCAAAACUGUAUUGCUCGAGGGAGAUAGAGGUGAGCGGAACUUAGGGUGGAGCGGUGAAAUGCGUUGAUAUCCUAAGGAACGCCAGGGGCGAAAGCGGCUCACUGGAUCUCUUCUGACGCUGAGGCACGAAAGCUAGGGUAGCGAACGGG